UGGGGAAUUUUGGACAAUGGGGGAAACCCUGAUCCAGCCAUCCCGCGUGUGCGGUGAAGGCCUUCGGGUUGUAAAGCACUUUUGGCAGGAAAGAAACGUCGCGGGUUAAUACCCCGCGAAACUGACGGUACCUGCAGAAUAAGCACCGGCUAACUACGUGCCAGCAGCCGCGGUAAUACGUAGGGUGCAAGCGUUAAUCGGAAUUACUGGGCGUAAAGCGUGCGCAGGCGGUUCGGAAAGAAAGAUGUGAAAUCCCAGAGCUUAACUUUGGAACUGCAUUUUUAACUACCGGGCUAGAGUGUGUCAGAGGGAGGUGGAAUUCCGCGUGUAGCAGUGAAAUGCGUAGAUAUGCGGAGGAACACCGAUGGCGAAGGCAGCCUCCUGGGAUAACACUGACGCUCAUGCACGAAAGCGUGGGGAGCAAACAGGAUUAGAUACCCUGGUAGUCCACGCCCUAAACGAUGUCAACUAGCUGUUGGGGGCCUUCGGGCCUUGGUAGCGCAGCUAACGCGUGAAGUUGACCGCCUGGGGAGUACGGUCGCAAGAUUAAAACUCAAAUGAAUUGAC
rnacentral:rRNA from 1 species